GAAGGUUGGGGAUGCAACUUGAUGUUCAAGCAAGGAGAUAACUCAUUAUCCAUUGAAUCCUUCAUAGGUGAAAACUCAUCAGAAAACUCCAUUUCUUCAAUAUCUUUAUCAGACUUGGUUGAGGAAGCAUCUUCUGCAACAUCAUCGUUGUCAUCAUCCAAUGGACCUCUUUAUGAAUUGUCAGAUCUCAUGGCUCAACUUCCUAUCAGGAGAGGGCUUUCUAAACAUUACCGAGGGAAAUCUCAGUCCUUCACAUCAUUAGCAAGGGUGAUGAGCAUAGAAGAUGUUCCAAAGAGAGUGGUGAAUCCUUUGAACAAUAGAGGCAAUAUGAAAUCAUGUAAGAGCUAUGGAUGGGAACUUGAUGGUGGUCAGAGAAGCAAGUCAUAUAGUCCCAAGGCUACCAUAUCAAAGAAGGGUUGUUAUAGUAGAACCUUUUUCAUGUCUUCUCUAGGUAAGACAAGUAGUAAUAAUCAAGUGAUUAGUGAAAAAUGAAGGAUUGAGGUAAUGUUGUUCCUAUACCUUCCAUCUCCUUGCACAAGAACCCAUCAGAUUAGCUGAAAUUGUUGCAGCAAGCGAGGUGUGUUGUAGUUUUUCCAUUUCAUGGAAGGAAACAAAUUAUCAGCUCACCAUUCUUUUUAUGGUUGUCAAAGGUUUAAAGAUGAUUUAUAACCCUUAAUAAGGGGUUUUAAGAUUACAGAAUACUAGCUUAGAGUAAACCAGAAGUUUCAUUGUGUA